rnacentral:lncRNA from 10 species
CUUGGUUAUCCAGGUGGAUCCAAUCCAAUCACACGGGCCCUUAAAGGCAGAGGUUUUCUCCGACUGUGAUCAAGAAAAUGCCAUGAAAGAUUGUAAGUGUGAGAAGGAGUUGAUGUGCCACUGCUGGCUCUGAAAUGUGGGGCCCACUUGUAGGAACUGGAGGGAGAGACUGGUUGCUAACGGUGGCCCCUAGCUAACAGCCAACAGAGAAAUGGGGACCGCCGGCCUACAGCUGCAGGGAACUGAAUUCAGCAACAUGAAUAAGUUUGGAAGAGGAUCCUUCCAGAACCUCCUGAUAGGAGCCCAGUCCGCUGUCACCUUGAAUUCAGCUUCAUGAACCAGGAGCAGGGAAACCAGCUGAGCCAACCCACAUUCUGACCUAAGGAGCACUGAGGACAACCAUGUCGUGAUGAUGAUGAUGACGACGAUGACAGCGAUGGCGGUGGUGAAAGAGGAAGACAUCCCUUCAUUUCAUGUAGCAAUCUGCUUCUUGCUGGGAUUUCAAAUCCAUUUUCAUUGUUGAUCCUGAGAACAAGCCUUGGAGGCGGAAUCAUUUUGAAAUC